rnacentral:rRNA from 1 species
GAUGAACGCUGGCGGCGUGCUUAACACAUGCAAGUCGAACGAAGCAUUUGCGACAGAUUUUUUCGGAAUGAAGUUGCUUAUGACUGAGUGGCGGACGGGUGAGUAACGCGUGGGUAACCUGCCUUGUACUGGGGGAUAGCAGCUGGAAACGGCUGGUAAUACCGCAUAAGCGCACAAUGUUGCUGACAUGGUGUGAAAAACUCCGGUGGCAUAAGAUGGACCCGCGUCUGAUUAGCUAGUUGGUGAGAUAACAGCCCACCAAGGCGACGAUCAGUAGCCGACCUGAGAGGGUGACCGGCCACAUUGGGACUGAGACACGGCCCAGACUCCUACGGGAGGCAGCAGUGGGGAAUAUUGCACAAUGGAGGAAACUCUGAUGCAGCGACGCCGCGUGAGUGAAGAAGUAAUUCGUUAUGUAAAGCUCUAUCAGCAGGGAAGAUAGUGACGGUACCUGACUAAGAAGCUCCGGCUAAAUACGUG